UCCUGGCUAGUUCAGUUGGUAGAGCGCUCCACUGUAAAUGGAGAGGCCUAUGGUUCGAUACCAUGACCGGGCG
rnacentral:tRNA from 1 species